rnacentral:rRNA from 1 species
CCUACGGGAGGCAGCAGUAGGGAAUCUUUCACAAUGGGCGAAAGCCUGAUGGAGCAACGCCGCGUGCAGGAUGAAGGCCUUCGGGUUGUAAACUGCUUUUAUAAGCGAGAAAUAUGAUGGUAACUUAUGAAUAAGGAUCGGCUAACUACGUGACAGCAGCCGCGGUCAUACGUAGGAUCCGAGCAUUAUCCGGAGUGACUGGGUGUAAAGAGUUGCGUAGGUGGCAUAAUAAGUAGCUAGUGAAAUCUGGUGGCUCAACCAUUCAGACUAUUAGCUAAACUGUUAAGCUCGAGACCGUUAGGGGUAACUGGAAUUUCUAGUGUAGGAGUGAAAUCCGUAGAUAUUAGAAGGAACACCAAUAGCGUAGGCAGGUUGCUGGGACGGUUCUGACACUAAGGCACGAAAGCGUAGGGAGCAAACGGGAUUAGAUACCCCUGUAGUC